UCUCCAUUCGUCUAGUGGUUAGGAUACCUGCUUGUCAUCAGAUUAAGUCCUAUGAUAAGAUCGAAUCCGCAGGUGGCCGGGGUUCAAUUCCCCGAUCGAGAG